UAUUCCUUCCUUUAUUGAUUUUAGAUUUGUGUGUGUGUGUGUGGUUAGUGAUAGUAAAGUUAGAUAUCUUGUUUUGUUUGAUGAACAUUUUUCCAAUAAGUGUAGCCUUCACCUCUCGUUUGACUUUGGACAAAAGAGGUGCUUUGGAGUAAUUAGUAUGGGGAUUUGCUUCCACCAUACCUCUUAUUUAGGCCCUAAGAAUUUUGUUAGAUCUAUAAAUUUAUCUACCGCUAGCAUCUAAAUCUUGAAAUCCUGAUAGAUCUAUGUACUCCCCAAAUGGAGAUUGUCACUUACUCGUGCUGUAAUAGGAAGUCCUUAAUUGCAGAUGUAUUUUAUAGGCUAUAGGUUAGAAUCUUGAUGAAGCUAUAUAACUCUUCUAUGCCAGCAAUGAAAGUGGUGGGGUGGAGUCAUAUUUCUUAACUUAAGGGAUUAAUGGAAUUACUAGGUGGUCUUCGACUAAACCUAUGAAAAUUAGAGUGUGUUUUUAUUGGAUAUAGUUUGCGAUGACUAUUUUUCUUUGAAAUUUAUAUUUCUUCAAUGAGGAAAAUAUUCUUAAUUGCCUUAACAUUUUCAUAAUUUCUAUACUUCUAUUAACUUAAUUUGCAUAAUUCUAUCUAUUGUUGCGUACUAAUACAUUUCAAAGUUCAAUUAUUUGAUGGUUCCUUUAUUGCCAUUGAAUUUUAUUUAAUACAAAACACCACAGAUCUCGACUCUUGACCAAGUUCAGAUGUUCCCUUCGGCAUAUCAAGACAUUCUGCUAUUUGGGAAUCAAGCGAGAAUGCUAUGUCAACAUAAAAUUGUACCAAUCUUGCUUCAUUAUAUACUCCACCUUUUGCCUUGAUAUUCCAAGGGCACUUUGACCAGGUUGUCCUAGAAGUAAGCAUAGAGAUGCUUGUAAUGGUUAAUGAAGACAACGUUACUAGAUGGAUUGAUUAUGUUGUUUAUGAUAAAAUAUUCUUCAAAAGAAUUGGGUAUCCUUGGCUUUUGACUAAACCAUGAAUGGUAUGAGCUAUCUUGUUGAAGGCUUAAUUUGCAUUAAGAAAUGCUCAAAUUCUUAAUGGAUCAAAUUUCUAAUGUUGUAUUAGCUUUGACACGAUUUGGUUAUAAAAUUAGAUUGCUAGUGGUGGCAUUUGUAGCAGUAUUGGGAAUAAAUUUGGUAGCAAUAGCGAUAUCAAUAUUGGUGCAAAAAAAAGUGAUGAUUUUGGUCAUGUUUUUCAGUCAAAUUUGAGAAAUGUGAGUCGUGGAGAUAUUUGUGCUAAUACUAAAUGUAAGCUGCUUCAUUGGUCUGCUGAUGAAUUAGUUGUUGCAGAAGGUCGAAUUGUAUCCAUAGAUCCAAACACAAAAGUGCAUCACGUUAUUCUUGGUGGAUCAUGUUGGAAAGUUUGGGUUGAUAAAGUUUUGGUGGAAAUGGUGGACCUAAUUUGACCAAAUGAUGAAAUGCAGUUUCUUGAUGAUGCAAUAAGAAGCACAGUUGCAUGGUUAUCGAAAUUUAUAGUAUUAUGUGAUUGAUACAUAAUAUACUAAUUUGUGUGAAUUGUAAGUUUAAUUGUUGUUAUAUAAUAACUA